rnacentral:rRNA from 1 species
UACGUAGGUGGCAAGCGUUAUCCGGCAUUAUUGGGCGUAAAGCGCGCGUAGGCGGUUUUUUAAGUCUGAUGUGAAAGCCCACGGCUCAACCGUGGGGGGUCAUUGGAAACUGGAAAACUUGAGUGCAGAAGAGGAAAGUGGAAUUCCAUGUGUAGCGGUGAAAUGCGCAGAGAUAUGGAGGAACACCAGUGGCGAAAGCGGCUCUUUGGCUCGCAACGGACGCUGAGGCGCGAAAGCGUGGGGAGCAAACAGG